AAAAAUAAUUGGCUUAUCAAAUUCUCUAUCGAGCCCGGAAAAAGAUCCAACAAAAGAUAGAAACAAAUCCACUAUUGGUUUCACGUCAAGCAAUAUGUAGAGUAA
rnacentral:rRNA from 1 species